rnacentral:rRNA from 1 species
UACGUAGGGUGCGAGCGUUGUCCGGAAUUAUUGGGCGUAAAGAGCUCGUAGGCGGUCUGUCGCGUCGAUCGUGAAAACUUGGGGCUUAACCCUGAGCUUGCGGUCGAUACGGGCAUGACUGGAGUUCGGCAGGGGAGACUGGAAUUCCUGGUGUAGCGGUGAAAUGCGUAGAUAUCUGGAGGAACACCGGUGGCGAAGGCGGCCAACUGGACCAUUACUGACGCUGAGGAGCGAAAGCGUGGGGAGCGAACAGG